rnacentral:lncRNA from 1 species
CCCUUCUCUUUUAUUAUUUUUUUUUUAUUGACUUUUCUUCCUCUGUUUCUUCUUCUUGAUCUGCAACACCAAGUCCUUUGCUUGCUUUGCUUUUUUUUUUUUAAUUUCAGCAAAGUGGCCUCAGCCACUUCCCUUUUACUUUUUUUUUUUUGGCUUGUUGGCUUUUCUUCUCCUGUUUCUUCUUGGCUGCUGCUUCCCUUUUUUUUUUGUUUUCCUUUGUCUGCUUGUAACCAUCGUGGUAGAUUUUUUAUUAUUCCAUAAUGGUGCCUGAUGAAGAAUUCAAAGGAUCCGCUGCACAAACGUGGCCUUCCUUUUCAAGCUUUGUUCCUCUCUUUUUUGUGCACACAGCUGAUUUUAUUUGCUGUGAGAUUAAAUCCCUCCAUGAUUAUGUUUGUGGGUUUUGUACCGAAAUUGGAUUUGGGCUCUUGAGAACCUACUGAAUGAGUUUUAUGCCCAAAAAUGGGUAUACCAUUCAGGGUAUUUGAUUGAGGGUUACACACCCAUGAUGGAUUUUGUAUCCAUUUCAAAGGAUUUUCUUUUGCUCGGCAGAGCUUUGUUAAACAGAAAUCCUCUCAUGGAUUUGUUGUUCAUCAUUUAAGGGUUGCCACCCAAUAUGGAUUCAUCAUCCAAGAGAAUGAUUUUAGGGUUGCCACCCAAUAUGGAUUCAUCAUCCAAGAGAAUGAUUUUAGGGUUGCCACCCAACAAGAAUUAAUUGACAGGAUCUAUAUACCUGUGAAAAUGUCUCCUCUUGUAUUUGUGCUCCUGCAAUUUUCCUUCUGCAACAGUUUUCUUCUUCUGUCGUGUUCUCCUCCCUCUCUGUCCU